rnacentral:rRNA from 1 species
CCGGCCUCACAUCUGCAAGUCUCGCGGGCCCUUCGGGGUCAGCGGCGGCCGGGUGCGUCACGCGUGGGCACGUGCCUUCUGGUCUGGCAAUCACCCUGGGUCAACUCGGGCUCAUCCCGGCUCCGCCCUUAUGGGGCAAGGUUUCAUGCCGGCAGCUCGGCCCGCGUCUGCUUAGCUAGUUGGUGGGGUCACGGCCUACCAAGGCUCCUCUCAGUAGCUGGUCUGAUCGGCUGCUCAGCCACACUGGGUACUGAUCCACGGUCCAUACUCCUACGGGAGGCAGCAGUGGGGAAUAUUGGACAAUGGGCGCAAGCCUGAUCCAGCCAUGCCGCGUGAGUGAUGAAGGCCUUAGGGUUGUAAAGCUCUUUUAUCCGGGACGAUAAUGACGGUACCGGAGGAAUAAGCCCCGGCUAACUUCGUGCCAGCAGCCGCGGUAAU